CACGUAGUUAGCCGUGGCUUUCUGGUUAGGUACCGUCAAGGUGCCAGCUUAUUCAACUAGCACUUGUUCUACCCUAACAACAGAGUUUUACGACCCGAAAGCCUUCAUCACUCACGCGGCGUUGCUCCGUCAGACUUUCGUCCAUUGCGGAAGAUUCCCUA
rnacentral:rRNA from 1 species